rnacentral:rRNA from 1 species
GACGUAGGGCGCGAGCGUUGUCCGGAUUUAUUGGGCGUAAAGAGCUCGUAGGCGGCUUGUCGCGUCGAAUGUGAAAACCCGGGGCUCAACCCCGGGCCUGCAGUCGAUACGGGCAGACUAGAGUGCGGUAGGGGAGACUGGAAUUCCUGGUGUAGCGGUGAAAUGCGCAGAUAUCAGGAGGAACACCGGUGGCGAAGGCGGGUCUCUGGGCCGUAACUGACGCUGAGGAGCGAAAGCGUGGGGAGCGAACAGG